UUGGCAAGGGAGAGUGGAAAUAACCUCGGCAAUGCUAGGCUAUAUUGGUGGUCAGGGGCAGAGGAUUCCAGUCCAUUGCGGUUAGCUCUCCUGCCUCUGCCAUUUAGGAGAGAGCCAGGGCUUCAGCCUCCUGCGGUGUCUGUUGUAAAGGACCCUGGAGGGAGUGGCUCAUCCUAGCUGUAGAAAGUGAGCUUAUUUAUUUUUUUCCUUUUAAAGAAUUACAUUUCAUAAGCGUUUCCGAGUAGUUGAAGGGAAUAUGAACGACUUCCAGAGAGAACGUGGACACAUUAGGUUAACCAAAAAGCUGGAAACCGCCAUAGAUGCAAAGUCUGUUGAGAGCGAGUUUCUUGAAGAGUCACUUGCUGAACUCCACUAGCAUCACCUCUCUGCCCUAAAUAUUUGGCAUAGAUAUGGCCUCAAUAAAAAGCAAAGAAGACUCAAAUUGUUGAAUUACAGAAUGAAUGAACAAUGUCUUCAUCUCUAGAGAGAGAAGAUGGAGGUUAUGGCAGAGUUCACUACUGGUCACACCCUGAGAAUAUACCCCUGAGAGAAGCCUAUUCCUAGGUGACAUAUCUACAGU